AAUGGGUCAGCGACUUAUAUUCUGUAGCAAGGUUAACCGAAUAGGGGAGCCGGAGGGAAACCGAGUCUUAAUUGGGCGUUAAGUUGCAGGGUAUAGACCCGAAACCCGGUGAUCUAGCCAUGGGCAGGUUGAAGGUUGGGUAACACUAACUGGAGGACCGAACCGACUAAUGUUGAAAAAUUAGCGGAUGACCUGUGGCUGGGGGUGAAAGGCCAAUCAAACCGGGAGAUAGCUGGUUCUCCCCGAAAGCUAUUUAGGUAGCGCCUCGUGAAUUCAUCUCCGGGGGUAGAGCACUGUUUCGGCUAGGGGGCCAUCCCGGCUUACCAACCCGAUGCAAACUGCGAAUACCGGAGAAUGUUAUCACGGGAGACACACGGCGGGUGCUAACGUCCGUCGUGAAGAGGGAAACAACCCAGACCGCCAGCUAAGGUCCCAAAGUCAUGGUUAAGUGGGAAACGAUGUGGGAAGGCCCAGACAGCCAGGAUGUUGGCUUAGAAGCAGCCAUCAUUUAAAGAAAGCGUAAUAGCUCACUGGUCGAGUCGGCCUGCGCGGAAGAUGUAACGGGGCUAAACCAUGCACCGAAGCUGCGGCAGCGAACGUAUCACUUAAAGCGAUUCAGCGGGUUACGAUUGACGGAGCGAAGCGACGUCAAAGCGUAUACAAAGUCGAGUCGGUUUAAGGAUACGUUCGUUGGGUAGGGGAGCGUUCUGUAAGCCUG
rnacentral:rRNA from 1 species